rfam:Dipodomys ordii contig_35185, whole genome shotgun sequence.
GGAAAUGUGGCUUAGUGGUAGAGUGCUUGCCUAGCAUGCAUGAAGCCCUGGGUUCAAUUCCUCAGUACCA